rnacentral:rRNA from 1 species
CCAGACUCCUACGGGAGGCAGCAGUGGGGAAUAUUGCACAAUGGGGGGAGCCCUGAUGCAGCGACGCCGCGUGAGUGAAGAAGUAUUUCGGUAUGUAAAGCUCUGUCAGCAGGGAAGAAGAAAGACGGUACCUGACCAAGAAGCCCCGGCUAACUACGUGCCAGCAGCCGCGGUAAUACGUAGGGGGCAAGCGUUAUCCGGAUUUACUGGGUGUAAAGGGAGCGUAGACGGCAGGGCAAGUCUGGAGUGAAAGGCGGGGGCCCAACCCCUGGACUGCUCUGGAAACUGUCCGGCUGGAGUGCAGGAGAGGUAAGUGGAAUUCCCAGUGUAGCGGUGAAAUGCGUAGAUAUUAGGAGGAACACCAGUGGCGAAGGCGGCUUACUGGACUGUAACUGACGUUGAGGCUCGAAAGCGUGGGGAGCAAACAGGAUUAGAUACCCUCGUAC